ensembl:lncRNA
AUCACCGAUUGUGGUUGUGGUUUCUAUUUAGAACCAUUUGGAGUAGGUAUUGAAGUUUGCUGUAUGUGUUGCAAAUCCAUUUACAGAAGUUUAUUGGACUGUUCUUAUAGCUCUUCUGUGGCUCCUGUUCAUCUUCUUUUGCAUUGUCACUUGGUGAUAGUUAUCCUUCUGCCAAAAUGUAUAGAAUGACAUACCCCUCAUCUUAAAUGACCCAUUGCUUAUUUAAACUUCAGGCAGUAUGUGAUCACACUUUUUUAGUAGAUGUACCUGUGAAAGGGUGGUGGGUGGUGGUUCCUUGUUUUGUUUUGAAUUUUCACAUAUUCUCUUCACAUAUUGUGCUUUGUUAUCUAGCCCAGCUCGAAGAGAAUACGACAAGAGAAUGUAGCAUUAGAUACUCAUGUGUAUUCAAAAGAGCAUUUUCAUGUAUCUGCCAGAGAUGUAAUGAAGUAGGAUAAUCAGCAACCAACCGUCUAUCAGCAGCAUGACUUCAUUGAAAGGAGCCUAGCAUGGCUGUCCUCUGAGAGGCUCUACUUGCAGCUGACUGAGACAGAUGCAGAUUCUUACAGCCAACCAUUGGAAUGAAGUCGGGGACCAUGAUGGAAAAGUUAGGGAAAAGAUUGCUGGAACUGAAGGGGAUGGCAACCCUAUAGGAAGUCCAACAAUGUCAACUAGCCUGGACCCCUGGGAGCUCCCAGAGACUAAGCCACCAACCGAAGAGGAUACACAGGCUGGUCCAAAGGUCCCUGGCAUGUAUCUAGCAGGGGACUAUCUUGUCUGGCCUCAUUUGGAGGGGAUGUGCCUAAUUCUGUAUAAACUUAUGCCCCGGGGUAGUGGGAUGUGGAAG